GAUGAACGCUGGCGGCGUGCCUAAUACAUGCCAGUCGAGCGAACGGACGAGAAGCUUGCUUUUCUGAUGUUAGCGGCGGACGGGUGAGUAACACGUGGAUAACCUACCUAUAAGACUGGGAUAACUUCGGGAAACCGGAGCUAAUACCGGAUAAUAUUUUGAACCGCAUGGUUCAAAAGUGAAAGACGGUCUUGCUGUCACUUAUAGAUGGAUCCGCGCUGCAUUAGCUAGUUGGUAAGGUAACGGCUUACCAAGGCAACGAUGCAUAGCCGACCUGAGAGGGUGAUCGGCCACACUGGAACUGAGACACGGUCCAGACUCCUACGGGAGGCAGCAGUAGGGAAUCUUCCGCAAUGGGCGAAAGCCUGACGGAGCAACGCCGCGUGAGUGAUGAAGGUCUUCGGAUCGUAAAACUCUGUUAUUAGGGAAGAACAUAUGUGUAAGUAACUGUACACAUCUUGACGGUACCUAAUCAGAAAGCCACGGCUAACUACGUG
rnacentral:rRNA from 1 species